UACGUAGGGUGCGAGCGUUAAUCGGAAUUACUGGGCGUAAAGCGUGCGCAGGCGGUUUUGCAAGCCGGAUGUGAAAUCCCCGGGCUCAACCUGGGAAUGGCAUUCGGGACUGCAAGGCUGGAGUGCGGCAGAGGAGACUGGAAUUCCUGGUGUAGCAGUGAAAUGACGUAGAUAUCAGGAGGAAUACCGAUGGCGAAGGCAGGUCUCUGGGCUGACACUGACGCUCAUGCACGAAAGCGUGGGGGAGCAAACAGG
rnacentral:rRNA from 1 species